UUCAUCUUCUUCUCCUUUCUUUCUUUCGCCGCGCCGACCACUUCCCCUUCUUCAUUUCCGUUUCGUCUUCUGCCUCUUUCGGCUACUUCUGCUUCUUCUUUCUUCUCCUCUUCAUUUAUUUCGGUUUUAUCUCAUUUUCUUUCCCCCUUGUUGCGCAGGUUGAUCUUCUUCUCCCUGAAAAUUUUUUCUGCAUUGUCUUCAAUCUUUGAGCCGAACUCUUUCUCCAUUUUCGUUCGAGUGAAUCUGAGAGCUUCUAAGCUCGAUUUUGAUGCAGAUGAUGAGGAGGUUGAGGCUGAGGAGGCAGCUCCGUCGGAGGCUUGAUUUGGUGCUCUUGGUCAUUGAUUGAAAAUUAUUUUCCUGUCUUUAAAUUAUGUAUUUUGGUUUUAUGAUGUAACUGAAAACUUGUAAUAUUUUGAUACUGUUGUUUUAAGCAAAUUUGUAUUUAAACAAAAUUCUAGUAAUUAGUUGAAAGACUUAUUACUUGCUGCGUUA